UACGGAGGGUGCAAGCGUUAUCCGGAUUUAUUGGGUUUAAAGGGUCCGUAGGCGGAUCCGUAAGUCAGUGGUGAAAUCUCACAGCUUAACUGUGAAACUGCCAUUGAUACUGCAGGUCUUGAGUAAGGUAGAAGUGGCUGGAAUAAGUAGUGUAGCGGUGAAAUGCAUAGAUAUUACUUAGAACACCAAUUGCGAAGGCAGGUCACUAUGUCUUAACUGACGCUGAUGGACGAAAGCGUGGGGAGCGAACAGG
rnacentral:rRNA from 1 species